GUUCGAAAUACGUCACGCAUGACGAAUCGCAGUUCGAUUGUGUUUCUUGUUGCUUUCGGACGUGCUUUUGUUCUGCUCUUGGAUUGCGUUGCUUUUUUUGCGGUUUGUGGACUUUUGCGGAGAGGAUUCAAGAUUUUUUAGGAUGAAGACGUUGGUGCGUUGUUGGAGGCGGUUCCGGCGGAGGCAGGCGGUGGCGCCGGAGGGAGAGGGUUCCUCGGACGACGCGGAACGAGUCUGUCGUUCCGUGCCGUCCGAGGAGCGACAGGCAGCGGGUGAAGAAGGCCUUGGCCAAGUGCGCGUGGCGUGGCAUCCUCCCGGAGUCGGGAUGAUGCGACGCUACACCCUGGGUCCAGUGCGCUUGGCCGAGGUCUUCGGGGGUCAUCCGGCCACAGACCUUGCUGUGGAGGAUGUCGAAAGUGACAGCUCGUCCGAGCUGACACUUUCUGUUUGGUCGUGUUCUGCCCGUUCGUCCGCGACGGCGACGCCACCGCCUUGCCGAAGUCUGGACGGGGAGGAGUCGGAGGAGAGAGCCCCCGAAGUCGAGGGACCGUGCUGUCCGUGGUUUAGUUGCUGCGGACGGCUGCGGUUGCCUUGGCCUAGGCGGUGAUCUUCUUCGAUUUCCUCUUCUUCACCCGGAUGCGACUUUCUUACCGGAUUCGACACUUUUUACCCGGACAUGACACUUUUUAACGGACGUGACCUUUCUUACCCGGACGUGACCCACGGACUUGACACGUUUCUUCACCGGACGCGACAUUCGGCCGACCUUUCUUCCCAAACAGCUGUUAUGAGGAUUGAGCUUCCGGUUAGGGUUCGUUAGGUUAGCCUAGGCUAGCCUAACGAACCCUUCGCUCUUCUCAUAACACUGUUCGGGAAGAAAGGCUGUCUGAUUAAGGUAAUAAUCUUGACCUUAGGUAAUAAAUGAAUAAACUUCUCGUUUUCUCACUGCCUUUGUGUUUUGUAGGAACAUUUGGGAGGGAGAAGAAUCUCCCUCCCCAACUUUACCACGAAGAGGACCAUUUAUCGUACAAGUGAAUAUUUUCCGAUGACAUGCCGAAGAUGUUCUUCGAUCACACACAUACACACACACGCACGGACACAACAUCACUGUACACGAAGAUAUACACCGUUUAACCUUUACUCGAAUUCUCGCACUCACGCACUUACACGUCAAGCGCCUCGUGCUGUGUAAUUCCACACAAUGAAACAACCCGAACACAC